UAGUCCACGCUGUAAACGAUGAUCACUUGCUAUUGGCGAUAUACUGUCAGUGGCAUAGCGAAAGUGUUAAGUGAUCCACCUGGGGAGUACGAUCGCAAGGUUGAAACUCAAAGGAAUUGACGGGGGCCCGCACAAGCGGUGGAGCAUGUGGUUUAAUUCGAUGAUACGCGAGGAACCUUACCAGGGCUUAAAUGGGAAAUGACAGAUUUGGAAACAAGUCCUUCUUCGGACAUUUUUCAAGGUGCUGCAUGGUUGUCGUCAGCUCGUGCCGUGAGGUGUUGGGUUAAGUCCCGUAACGAGCGCAACCCCUAUCUUUAGUUGCCAGCGGUUCGGCCGGGGACUCUAAAGAAACUGCCAGCGUAAGCUGUGAGGAAGGUGGGGAUGACGUCAAAUCAUCACGGCCCUUACGCCCUGGGCCACACACGUGCUACAAUGGUAGGUACAGAGGGCAGCUACCUGGUGACAGGAUGCGAAUCUCAAAAACCUAUCUCAGUUCGGAUUGGAGU
rnacentral:rRNA from 1 species